GAGAGAGGGAGCCUGGCAGCUGCAUGAGGGAGCUGAGGAGGAGAUGCGCGCAGAUCCAGACGGCAUCAGAUGGUGUGCUGAGAGGCCCAUCUUUAUUACAUAUUGAAGUUCUAUGAAAUUAGAAGGUCCAUUAAAUAUCACUCGGCUUAGCUUCAGAAUUUUUUAAAAUGCGAAAUGCUGACUUUGCGAUCUGAGCAAAAGCCCAACAAACACCGACUAUGGGUUGUCUACAGAAACAGCGAUGAAGACGUCUGAAAAGGGAAUUUGCUUCUGUUGCUCAAUCCAAUCACAUGUUCCCCUACCCACACCGCCACCCCUCCCACACCUCCCUCCCUCAGCCCUCCCACCCCUCCCACAC